AUGGCGGCCGCGGGAAUUCGAUUAGAGUUUGAUCAUGGCUCAGAUUGAACGCUGGCGGAAUGCUUUACACAUGCAAGUCGAACGGUAGAGGGGGCAACCCCUUGAGAGUGGCGAACGGGUGAGUAAUAUAUCGGAACGUGCCCAGUCGUGGGGGAUAACGUAGCGAAAGUUACGCUAAUACCGCAUACGAUCUAAGGAUGAAAGCGGGGGACCGUAAGGCCUCGCGCGAUUGGAGCGGCCGAUAUCAGAUUAGGUAGUUGGUGGGGUAAAGGCUCACCAAGCCAACGAUCUGUAGCUGGUCUGAGAGGACGACCAGCCACACUGGAACUGAGACACGGUCCAGACUCCUACGGGAGGCAGCAGUGGGGAAUUUUGGACAAUGGACGCAAGUCUGAUCCAGCCAUUCCGCGUGCAGGAUGAAGCCCUCGGCUUGAAACCUGUUUUUGUCCGAACGAAAAGGUUUCUUUAUACCAAGGACUAUA
rnacentral:rRNA from 1 species